UCGAACGGUAACGCGGGGCAACCUGGCGACGAGUGGCGAACGGGUGAGUAAUGCAUCGGAACGUGCCCAGUAGUGGGGGAUAGCCCGGCGAAAGCCGGAUUAAUACCGCAUACGACCUACGGGUGAAAGCGGGGGACUCGCAAGAGCCUCGCGCUAUUGGAGCGGCCGAUGUCAGAUUAGCUAGUUGGUGGGGUAAAAGCCUACCAAGGCGACGAUCUGUAGCUGGUCUGAGAGGACGACCAGCCACACUGGGACUGAGACACGGCCCAGACUCCUACGGGAGGCAGCAGUGGGGAAUUUUGGACAAUGGGCGCAAGCCUGAUCCAGCCAUGCCGCGUGCGGGAAGAAGGCCUUCGGGUUGUAAACCGCUUUUGUCAGGGAAGAAACGCUCUGGGCUAAUACCCUGGGGUAAUGACGGUACCUGAAGAAUAAGCACCGGCUAACUACGUGCCAGCAGCCGCGGUAAUACGUAGGGUGCAAGCGUUAAUCGGAAUUACUGGGCGUAAAGCGUGCGCAGGCGGUUAUGCAAGACAGAUGUGAAAUCCCCGGGCUCAACCUGGGAACUGCAUUUGUGACUGUAUAGCUAGAGUACGGUAGAGGGGGAUGGAAUUCCGCGUGUAGCAGUGAAAUGCGUAGAUAUGCGGAGGAACACCGAUGGCGAAGGCAAUCCCCUGGACCUGUACUGACGCUCAUGCACGAA
rnacentral:rRNA from 1 species